CACGGGUGAGGGACAGGGACCAAAGAGGAGGCUCUACAACAUGAGGAAAGACGGCGAUCCUCAAGCAGUCAGUCCAUGAGCCCACGUCUUCAGGCCAGGGCCCCGAGAGGAAUUUCCAGUGACAUGGAUCAACAGAGGUCCUCAAACAGUCAGUCCAUGUGCCACGUUCCAGCCAGGGACCAAAAGGGGGGCUUUCGUCAUGGGGCCAGACAGACAUCCUCAAGCAGUAAGUUGAUUUACAAGGAUGCAUUCUGAAGUUGAAUUGAAGUAGUUAUAUUGUUGUACGCUGGCUACUAUUCAAUGUGUCAAAGUGAAAUUUAUUAAUUGUUGUCCCAUGAAAAAAUGAACUGUAUUUACAAAUCUCAAUGUAUCGUUCCAGGGAUAAGAGUUCAAGAAUGUUGUUGCAGGUGAAUUGAUCAUUGAAAUUUGCUGAUUCAAUGCCAUUUUUGUAUCUUUACUUUUUGGAGAAA